GACGAACGCUGGCGGCGUGCUUAACACAUGCAAGUCGAACGGAAAGGCCCUGCUUUUGUGGGGUGCUCGAGUGGCGAACGGGUGAGUAACACGUGAGUAACCUGCCCUUGACUUUGGGAUAACUUCAGGAAACUGGGGCUAAUACCGGAUAGGAGCUCCUGCUGCAUGGUGGGGGUUGGAAAGUUUCGGCGGUUGGGGAUGGACUUGCGGCUUAUCAGCUUGUUGGUGGGGUAGUGGCUUACCAAGGCUUUGACGGGUAGCCGGCCUGAGAGGGUGACCGGCCACAUUGGGACUGAGAUACGGCCCAGACUCCUACGGGAGGCAGCAGUGGGGAAUAUUGCACAAUGGGCGGAAGCCUGAUGCAGCAACGCCGCGUGCGGGAUGACGGCCUUCGGGUUGUAAACCGCUUUCGCCUGUGACGAAGCGUGAGUGACUGUAAUGGGUAAAGAAGCACCGGCUAACUACGUG
rnacentral:rRNA from 1 species